rnacentral:miRNA from 1 species
GUAUCCAAGUAGUCCAAGGGAC